rnacentral:rRNA from 1 species
GACGAACGCUGGCGGCGUGCUUAACACAUGCAAGUCGAACGGAAAGGCCCUGCUUUUGUGGGGUGCUCGAGUGGCGAACGGGUGAGUAACACGUGAGUAACCUGCCCUUGACUUUGGGAUAACUUCAGGAAACUGGGGCUAAUACCGGAUAGGAGCUCCCGCUGCAUGGAGGGGGUUGGAAAGUCUCUGCGGUUGGGGAUGGACUCGCGGCUUAUCAGCUUGUUGGUGGGGUAGUGGCUGACCAAGGCUUUGACGGGUAGCCGGCCUGAGAGGGUGACCGGCCACCUUGGGCCUGCGGUACGGCCCAGUCUCCUACGGGAGGCAGCAGUGGGGAAUAUUGCACAGUGGGCGGACGCCUGAUGCAGCAGCGCCGCGUGCGUGAUGACGGCCUUCGGGUUGUAAACCGCUUUCGCCUGUGACGAAGCGUUAGUGACGGUAAUGGGUGAAGAAGCACCGGCUAACUACGUG